rnacentral:rRNA from 1 species
UACAGGGGGGGCAAGCGUUGUUCGGAAUUACUGGGCGUAAAGGGCCAGUAGGCGGCCAACUAAGUCCGACGUGAAAUCCCCAAGCUUAACUUGGGAACUGCGUCGGAUACUGGAUGGCUUGAAUUCGGGAGAGGGAUGCAGAAUUCCAGGUGUAGCGGUGAAAUGCGUAGAUAUUGGGAAGAACACCGGUGGCGAAGGCGGCGACCUGGUCCUUUUACUGACGCUGAGGCGCGAAAGCGUGGGGAGCAAACAGG